rnacentral:rRNA from 1 species
CGACCCUACGGGAGGCAGCAGUGGGGAAUAUUGCACAAUGGGGGAAACCCUGAUGCAGCAACGCCGCGUGAAGGAAGACGGUUUUCGGAUUGUAAACUUCUGUUCUUAGUGAAGAAAAAUGACGGUAGCUGAGGAGCAAGCCACGGCUAACUACGUGCCAGCAGCCGCGGUAAUACGUAGGUGGCAAGCGUUGUCCGGAAUUACUGGGUGUAAAGGGAGCGCAGGCGGGAAGCCAAGUCAGCUGUGAAAACUACGGGCUUAACUUGUAGACUGCAGUUGAAACUGGUUUUCUUGAGUACUGGAGG